AGCGAACGUUUGCGGCGGGCUUAACACAUGCAAGUCGAACGAGAAUCCCUUCGGGGAGGAAAGUGGCGCACGGGUGCGUAACACGUGGAUAACCAACCCAUUGGUUUGGGACAACACCGGGAAACUGGUGCUAAUACCAGAUGUGUCGCAGCUGUCUUCAGGCGGUUGCGAGAAAGGCCCGCAAGGGUCGCCAACGGACGGGUCCGCGUCCCAUCAGCUAGUUGGUGAGGUAAUGGCUCACCAAGGCAAAGACGGGUAGCUGGUCUGAGAGGAUGAUCAGCCACACUGGAACUGAGACACGGUCCAGACUCCUACGGGAGGCAGCAGUGGGGAAUAUUGCGCAAUGGGCGAAAGCCUGACGCAGCCACGCCGCGUGGGCGAUGAAGGCCUUCGGUCGUAAGCUCUGUGGGGGAGAGAAAAGACCGGUGAAGAGCGGCCCUGACGGUAUCCCUUAGCAAGCACCGGCUAACUCCGUGCCAGCAGCCGCGGUAA
rnacentral:rRNA from 1 species